rnacentral:rRNA from 1 species
AACGCGAAGAACCUUACCAAGGCUUGACAUACACCGGAAACGGCCAGAGAUGGUCGCCCCCUUGUGGUCGGUGUACAGGUGGUGCAUGGCUGUCGUCAGCUCGUGUCGUGAGAUGUUGGGUUAAGUCCCGCAACGAGCGCAACCCUUGUUCUGUGUUGCCAGCAUGCCCUUCGGGGUGAUGGGGACUCACAGGAGACUGCCGGGGUCAACUCGGAGGAAGGUGGGGACGACGUCAAGUCAUCAUGCCCCUUAUGUCUUGGGCUGCACACGUGCUACAAUGGCCGGUACAAAGAGCUGCGAAACCGUGAGGUGGAGCGAAUCUCAAAAAGCCGGUCUCAGUUCGGAUUGGGGUCUGCAAUCUCGACCCCAUGAAGUACGGAGUUGUGUAGAAUCGCAGAUCAGCAGUGAUGC